rnacentral:tRNA from 2 species
UCCUGGUUAGCUCAGUUAGUAAAGCACUGCACUGGAAAUGGAGAGGUCCUUGGUUCAAUACCCAGGACCAGGCA